rnacentral:rRNA from 1 species
GCGGAGCCUGAUGCAGCGACGCCGCGUGAGGGAUGACGGCCUUCGGGUUGUAAACCUCUUUCAGUAGGGAAGAAGCGAGAGUGACGGUACCUGCAGAAGAAGCGCCGGCUAACUACGUGCCAGCAGCCGCGGUAAUACGUAGGGCGCAAGCGUUGUCCGGAAUUAUUGGGCGUAAAGAGCUCGUAGGCGGUUUGUCGCGUCUGCUGUGAAAGCCCGGGGCUCAACCCCGGGUCUGCAGUGGGUACGGGCAGACUAGAGUGCAGUAGGGGAGACUGGAAUUCCUGGUGUAGCGGUGAAAUGCGCAGAUAUCAGGAGGAACACCGAUGGCGAAGGCAGGUCUCUGGGCUGUUACUGACGCUGAGGAGCGAAAGCAUGGGGAGCGAACAGGAUUAGAUACCCUGGUAGUCC